rnacentral:rRNA from 1 species
UGGGGAAUUUUGGACAAUGGGCGAAAGCCUGAUCCAGCAAUGCCGCGUGUGUGAAGAAGGCCUUCGGGUUGUAAAGCACUUUUGUCCGGAAAGAAAUCCUUGGCUCUAAUACAGUCGGGGGAUGACGGUACCGGAAGAAUAAGCACCGGCUAACUACGUGCCAGCAGCCGCGGUAAUACGUAGGGUGCAAGCGUUAAUCGGAAUUACUGGGCGUAAAGCGUGCGCAGGCGGUUUGCUAAGACCGAUGUGAAAUCCCCGGGCUCAACCUGGGAACUGCAUUGGUGACUGGCAGGCUAGAGUAUGGCAGAGGGGGGUAGAAUUCCACGUGUAGCAGUGAAAUGCGUAGAGAUGUGGAGGAAUACCGAUGGCGAAGGCAGCCCCCUGGGCCAAUACUGACGCUCAUGCACGAAAGCGUGGGGGAGCAAAACAGGAUUAGAUACCCUGGUAGUCCACGCCCUAAACGAUGUCAACUAGUUGUUGGGGAUUCAUUUCCUUAGUAACGUAGCUAACGCGUGAAGUUGACCGCCUGGGGAGUACGGUCGCAAGAUUAAAACUCAAAUGAAUU